CUGCUGAUAUCAGUGAUUUUGCUUUAAUUACCACAGAUCGAAGAUAUAACUCCAGAAACACUAGGACACAUCACUCUUUACCCCAUUUGGUUGUGUUCAUGUUUGGUACAGUGGGGGUUGUUCUUGUGAACACUGUUGUGUUAUUAGUAGAGCUGAUCCUAAAAGCACGAAAUGGUGAGCGGACAGUGGAUCUGCAACUUAUUCUCCUACCCACUGAAAGCGUCUUUGCUGUGUGCUACCUUGCUUUACAAAUAUCGACUUUCUACU